GGUGGCAUAAAUGUUUCCCCACUCCACCAGGAGCAAGGAGACCUCAGACCCUUCUCCAGCCCCUGGACACAGCCUGGCAGUGCUAACAACCUCUCCUACUCCCAGCCAGAGAUCCCAAAAAAAUGGAAUAACCCCUUCAAGGCUCUUCCAAGGCUCUUUCUCUUGAUGGAAAAACACUGCUUGGCUCAAUUUUGCAUCAGCACAACUCUUCCCCAGCACAUCCUUUGGCACAGCAGCUGCUGUUGUUACCCUCUGCUCCAGAGCUGAGCUGCAGCACCUACCGAGGAGCCUUUUCCCAGCUCAGACAAGGGCAGCAGGCAAUUGGGAUUUGAAGACACUGGCAAAGACAAAAGCAGCCCACAAGUAGCCGGUAGAAAGCCCUACAACAGCGCAGCAAACAUUUCCUAAUUUACUGCAAUGCCAGAAGAUGAGUCACCCCAGUGUUCCUGUUGCAUAAUCUUCCCCAAAGCUCAGGAGAGUGAAACCAGAGAAGCAAAGAGGAGCCGGUGUGAGCAGCACAGGAGUCCUCCACACCUCAGCAACUUUGUGCUUUCUGUUCCACCAGAGUGAACCAGGUCUGGACGAGCCAUCUGCAUCCAAGCAUGGAUCAAACGGAUCAAACAAUCCAGGGCUCGACCUCGAGGAGGAGAGAGGGAGAUCCCCAGGUGAUCAACAACAGCUGCUGGAGAGAG